GCUGGGUUUGGUGGUGGAUGCCUAUAAUCCCAGUGGCUUGGGGAGGCUGAGACAGGAGGAUUGCAAGUUCAAAGUGAGGUGCAGCAAAAAGCGAGGUGCUAAGCAACGCAGUAAGACCCUGUCUCUA
rnacentral:sRNA from 1 species